rnacentral:rRNA from 1 species
GCCCGAGUUGUAAUUUGAAGAUAGUUUUCUGGUGCUGGCCCUUGUCUAUGUUCCUUGGAACAGGACGUCACAGAGGGUGAGAAUCCCGUCUGGCGGGGUGUCCAGUGCUUUGUAGAUUUCUAUCGACGAGUCGAGUUGUUUGGGAAUGCAGCUCUAAGUGGGUGGUAAAUUCCAUCUAAAGCUAAAUAUUGGCGAGAGACCGAUAGCGAACAAGUACAGUGAUGGAAAGAUGAAAAGAACUUUGAAAAGAGAGUGAAAAAGUACGUGAAAUUGUUGAAAGGGAAGGGUAUUAGAUCAGACUUGGUGUUUUGUGAUUAUCUUCCCUUCUUGGGUUGUGCACUCGCAUUUCACUGGGCCAGCAUCGGUUCGGGUGGCAAGAUAAUGACAUUGGAACGUGGCACUACCUUCGGGUGGUGUGUUAUAGCCCUUGUUGAUGUUGCCUAUCUGGACCGAGGACUGCGGCUUUUGCCUAGGAUGCUGGCGUAAUGAUCUAACACCGCCCGUCUUGAAACACGGACCA